rnacentral:tRNA from 1 species
UCCUUGGUGGUCCAGUGGUAAGGACUCUGUGCUCCUAAUGCAGGGAGCUCGGAUUCAAUCCCUGGUCAAGAAA